GACGAACGCUGGCGGCGUGCUUAACACAUGCAAGUCGAACGCUGAAGCUCAGCUUUUGUUGGGUGGAUGAGUGGCGAACGGGUGAGUAACACGUGAGUAACCUGCCCCCUUCUUUGGGAUAACGCCCGGAAACGGGUGCUAAUACUGGAUAUUCACUGGUCUUCGCAUGGGGGUUGGUGGAAAGGGUUUUUCUGGUGGGGGAUGGGCUCGCGGCCUAUCAGCUUGUUGGUGGGGUGAUGGCCUACCAAGGCUUUGACGGGUAGCCGGCCUGAGAGGGUGACCGGUCACAGUGGGACUGAGAUACGGCCCAGACUCCUACGGGAGGCAGCAGUGGGGAAUAAUGCACAAUGGGCGCAAGCCUGAUGCAGCGACGCCGCGUGAGGGAUGGAGGCCUUCGGGUUGUGAACCUCUUUCGCUAAUGGUCAAGCCGCAACAAUGGUUGUGGUGAGGGUAGUGGGUAAAGAAGCGCCGGCUAACUACGUG
rnacentral:rRNA from 1 species